UUCAAAAAAGCAAAUUGCGUAAAAUUUAAAAUUUUAUAUUAUGAAUAAACUCAUUUUUGAAA
rnacentral:tRNA from 1 species